rnacentral:rRNA from 1 species
GACGAAGGUGGCGAGCGUUGUUCGGAAUCACUGGGCAUAAAGCGCACGUAGGCGGCUAGGUAAGUCGGAUGUGAAACACCUCGGCUCAACCGGGGAACGGGCGCCGAAACGCCCCGUCUCGAGGGACGUAGGGGGACCUGGAACUUCCGGUGGAGCGGUGAAAUGCGUUGAGAUCGGAAGGAACGCCCGUGGCGAAAGCGAGGUCCUGGACGUCUACUGACGCUGAGACGCGAAAGCUAGGGGAGCGAACGGG